CUUAACUCAUGCAAGUCGAGGGGCAGCAUGGUCUUAGCUUGCUAAGGCCGAUGGCGACCGGCGCACGGGUGAGUAACACGUAUCCAACCUGCCGUCUACUCUUGGACAGCCUUCUGAAAGGAAGAUUAAUACAAGAUGGCAUCAUGAGUCCGCAUGUUCACAUGAUUAAAGGUAUUCCGGUAGACGAUGGGGAUGCGUUCCAUUAGAUAGUAGGCGGGGUAACGGCCCACCUAGUCUUCGAUGGAUAGGGGUUCUGAGAGGAAGGUCCCCCACAUUGGAACUGAGACACGGUCCAAACUCCUACGGGAGGCAGCAGUGAGGAAUAUUGGUCAAUGGGCGAGAGCCUGAACCAGCCAAGUAGCGUGAAGGAUGACUGCCCUAUGGGUUGUAAACUUCUUUUAUAAAGGAAUAAAGUCGGGUAUGGAUACCCGUUUGCAUGUACUUUAUGAAUAAGGAUCGGCUAACUCCGUGCCAGCAGCCGCGGUAAUACGGAGGAUCCGAGCGUUAUCCGGAUUUAUUGGGUUUAAAGGGAGCGUAGAUGGAUGUUUAAGUCAGUUGUGAAAGUUUGCGGCUCAACCGUAAAAUUGCAGUUGAUACUGGAUAUCUUGAGUGCAGUUGAGGCAGGCGGAAUUCGUGGUGUAGCGGUGAAAUGCUUAGAUAUCACGAAGAACUCCGAUUGCGAAGGCAGCCUGCUAAGCUGCAACUGACAUUGAGGCUCGAAAGUGUGGGUAUCAAACAGGAUUAGAUACCCUGGUAGUCCACACGGUAAACGAUGAAUACUCGCUGUUUGCGAUAUACGGCAAGCGGCCAAGCGAAAGCGUUAAGUAUUCCACCUGGGGAGUACGCCGGCAACGGUGAAACUCAAAGGAAUUGACGGGGGCCCGCACAAGCGGAGGAACAUGUGGUUUAAUUCGAUGAUACGCGAGGAACCUUACCCGGGCUUAAAUUGCAGAUGAAUUACGGUGAAAGCCGUAAGCCGCAAGGCAUCUGUGAAGGUGCUGCAUGGUUGUCGUCAGCUCGUGCCGUGAGGUGUCGGCUUAAGUGCCAUAACGAGCGCAACCCUUGUUGUCAGUUACUAACAGGUUCCGCUGAGGACUCUGACAAGACUGCCAUCGUAAGAUGUGAGGAAGGUGGGGAUGACGUCAAAUCAGCACGGCCCUUACGUCCGGGGCUACACACGUGUUACAAUGGGGGGUACAGAGGGCCGCUACCACGCGAGUGGAUGCCAAUCCCCAAAACCUCUCUCAGUUCGGACUGGAGUCUGCAACCCGACUCCACGAAGCUGGAUUCGCUAGUAAUCGCGCAUCAGCCACGGCGCGGUGAAUACGUUCCCGGGCCUUGUACACACCGCCCGUCAAGCCAUGGGAGCCGGGGGUACCUGAAGUGCGUAACCGCGAGGAGCGCCCUAGGGUAAAACUGGUGACUGGGGCUAAGU
rnacentral:rRNA from 1 species